AUACUUUACCGGCAGGAAGAUACCAUGAUCCAAGAAGUGUGGUUCACCCGGCGAGGCUUAAACCAUUGCACCCCGUUAUGCUGACCCCUGCGAAAUGCCCCAAAUUGGAACUCUCGACUCAUAAUUUGUGGUAGUGGGUGACUUGCGUUUCGCCUACUCUCC